rnacentral:rRNA from 1 species
ACUCUACGGGAGGCAGCAUGGGGAAUWUUGCACAAUGGGCGAAAGCCUGAUGCAGCGACGCCGCGUGAGGGAUGACUGCUUUCGGGUUGUAAACCUCUUUCAGUAGGGAAGAAGCGAAAGUGACGGUACCUGCAGAAGAAGCGCCGGCUAACUACGUGCCAGCAGCCGCGGUAAUACGUAGGGCGCAAGCGUUGUCCGGAAUUAUUGGGCGUAAAGAGCUUGUAGGUGGCUUGUCGCGUCUGCCGUGAAAACCCGAGGCUCAACCUCGGGCGUGCGGUGGGUACGGGCAGGCUAGAGUGUGGUAGGGGAGACUGGAACUCCUGGUGUAGCGGUGAAAUGCGCAGAUAUCAGGAAGAACACCGAUGGCGAAGGCAGGUCUCUGGGCCAUUACUGACACUGAGAAGCGAAAGCAUGGGUAGCGAACAGGAUUAGAUACCCUGGUAGUCCAUGCCGUAAACGUUGGGCACUAGGUGUGGGGGACAUUCCACGUUUUCCGCGCCGUAGCUAACGCAUUAAGUGCCCCGCCUGGGGAGUACGGCCGCAAGGCUAAAACUCAAAGGAAUUGACGGGGGCCCGCACAAGCGGCGGAGCAUGCUGAUUAAUUCGAUGCAACGCGAAGAACCUUACCAAGGCUUGACAUGGACCGGACGGCUGCAGAAAUGUGGCUUUCUUCGGACUGGUUCACAGGUGGUGCAUGGUUGUCGUCAGCUCGUGUCGUGAGAUGUUGGGUUAAGUCCCGCAACGAGCGCAACCCUCGUUCCAUGUUGCCAGCGCGUAAUGGCGGGGACUCAUGGGAGACUGCCGGGGUCAACUCGGAGGAAGGUGGGGACGACGUCAAAUCAUCAUGCCCCUUAUGUCUUGGGCUUCAAGCAUGCUACAAUGGUCGGUACAAUGGGUUGCGAUACUGUGAGGUGGAGCGAAUCCCAAAAAGCCGGCCUCAGUUCGGAUUGGGGUCUGCAACUCGACCCCAUGAAGUCGGAGUCGCUAGUAAUCGCAGAUCAGCAACGCUGCGUAUCAG